rnacentral:misc_RNA from 1 species
AGAUGCUCCAUAAAUACCGACGUCUUAACUGACAUUGCAACUGAUCAAGAGGUUCGGGAUGAUGUUGCAACUGAUGAUUGUGGCUGUACAAUACCUGUUCUUCAUCUCAAAUCUGAUAUUCUGGAAACUGAAGCACUAAAUCUGCUAGCCAAGGGAACAUUUGUGGACACUCUCUUGACAACAUUGCCAGUCUUAUCAGAGGAGGAGCAGAACAUUAUUGCUGCGACUCCUGCUCAUCCAGCAGGGUUAUACGCUUUAUAUGCUAGUUGCUUGGCUGGGUAUAUGGUGGAACAACUUUGGAAUUUCGCCUCACCUGCUGCCAUUGCGUUGAUUCAUCCUAGUCUUCUUCCUGUGGCACUCAUGGGUUUCCUCGCUAAGCUCGCUGUAAUUGGUGGAGGUCCUCUGGUUGGAAAACUUAUGGAUCACUUUCCUCGGGUUCCUGCAUAUAAUUGUCUAUAUAUAGUCCAGACAGCUGCCCAGUUAAUGUCUGUUGGAAUGAUUAUACAUGGUCAUACUCUUCACCCAACGUCUGCAUCAUCUUUACUUUUCCGACCUUGGUUUAUUGUGCUUGUUCUAGUGGGAGCUGUUGAGAGGCUAUCUGGGUUGGCAUUGGGGGUUGCAGUGGAGCGUGAUUGGGUUGUUUUGUUAGCUGGAACCAAUCGCCCAGUUGCUCUUGCUCAAGCAAAUGCUGUUCUAAGCCGUAUUAACCUUUUAUGCGAGAUUGUUGGAGCAGCAUUAUUUGGCAUUCUUCUCGCUAAAUAUGAACUGGUGCUAUGCUUAAAAAUUGCUGCUGGUUUGAUGAUGGGGACACUUCCUAUUGUGGUAUCUCUGACAUGGCUAACCAACAAGCUUUCCUCUGGUGUUCUUGACCGUGCUGUGGAAACUUGUUUAAGUUGUUCCUUCCCAUCUUCACUAAAAUCAGAAAAUAUAGUGGGAGUGGGUCUGGAAGCUAUAAAGCAUGGAUGGUUUGAAUAUAUUAGACAACCCGUUCUUCCAGCAAGCAUAGCUUAUGUGCUAUUAUAUUUCAAUGUUGUUCUUGCACCUGGUGGUUUAAUGACAGCAUUUUUAACACAGCAAGGUUUGAAUCCAUCUAUUAUUGGGGGCUUCAGCGGAUUAUGUGCUUUUGUAGGCGUUGCAGCCACAUUUGUUUCUGCAAAGAUGGUCAAGCACCUUGGCAUCUUAAAGGCUGGAGCCGCUGGCCUAGUAUUCCAUGCUUCCCUU